rnacentral:rRNA from 1 species
GGUUAAGCGACUAAGCGUACACGGUGGAUGCCCUGGCAGUCAGAGGCGAUGAAGGACGUGCUAAUCUGCGAAAAGCGCCGGCGAGGUGAUAUGAACCUUUGACCCGGCGAUGUCCGAAUGGGGAAACCCAGUGUGUUCCGACACACUAUCGUUAACUGAAUACAUAGGUUAACGAGGCGAACCGGGGGAACUGAAACAUCUAAGUACCCCGAGGAAAAGAAAUCAACCGAGAUUCCCCCAGUAGCGGCGAGCGAACGGGGAGCAGCCCGGAGUCUGAAUCAGCUUGUGUGUUAGUGGAACGGUCUGGAAAGUCCGACGGUACAGGGUGAUAGUCCCGUACACGAAAACACACUUGCUGUGAACUCGAAGAGUAGGGCGGGACACGUGGUAUCCUGUCUGAAUAUGGGGGGACCAGUCCUCCAAGGCUAAAUACUCCUGACUGACCGAUAGUGAACCAGUACCGUGAGGGAAA